AUUGAACGCUGGCGGCAGGCUUAACACAUGCAAGUCGAGCGGGGUGAUGGUGCUUGCACUAUCACUUAGCGGCGGACGGGUGAGUAAUGCUUAGGAAUCUGCCUAUUAGUGGGGGACAACAUCUCGAAAGGGAUGCUAAUACCGCAUACGUCCUACGGGAGAAAGCAGGGGAUCACUUGUGACCUUGCGCUAAUAGAUGAGCCUAAGUCGGAUUAGCUAGUUGGUGGGGUAAAGGCCUACCAAGGCGACGCUCUGUAGCGGGUCUGAGAGGAUGAUCAGACACACUGGGACUGCGACACGGCGCAGCCUCCUACGGGAGGCAGCAGUGGGGAAUAUUGGACAAUGGGGGGAAACCUGAUCCAGGCAUGCCGCGUGUGUGAAGAAGGCCUUAUGGUUGUAAGGCACUUUAAGCGAGGAGGAGGCUCUUUUGGUUAAUACCCAAGAUGAGUGGACGUUACUCGCAGAAUAAGCACCGGCUAACUCUGUGCCAGCCGCCGCAGUAA
rnacentral:rRNA from 1 species